GACGUAGGGAGGCGAGCGUGUCCGGAUUUACUGGGCGUAAAGCGCGCGCAGGCGGUCGCGCAGGUCAUCUGUGAAAGCCCCCGGGCUCAACCGGGCGGAUGCGGGUGAAACCGCGCGACGGAGGGUGGGAGAGGCGGCGGAAUUCCCGGUGUAGUGGUGAAAUGCGUAGAUAUCGGGAGGAACACCAAUUGCGAAGGCAGCUUGCUGGGACGGUACUGGACGC
rnacentral:rRNA from 1 species